ACGUUAGCGGCGGACGGGUGAGUAACACGUGGGUAACCUACCUAUAAGACUGGGAUAACUUCGGGAAACCGGAGCUAAUACCGGAUAAUAUUUCGAACCGCAUGGUUCGAUAGUGAAAGAUGGUUUUGCUAUCACUUAUAGAUGGACCUGCGCCGUAUUAGCUAGUUGGUAAGGUAACGGCUUACCAAGGCGACGAUACGUAGCCGACCUGAGAGGGUGAUGGCCACACUGGAACUGAGACACGGUCCAGACUCCUACGGGAGGCAGCAGGC
rnacentral:rRNA from 1 species